CCCACAGCAUGAUGCUGCCACCACCAUGCUUCACCGUAGGGAUGGUGCCAGGUUUCCUCCAGACAUGAUGCUGCCACCACCAUGCUUCACCGUAGGGAUGGUGCCAGGUUUCCUCCAGACAUGAUGCUGCCACCACCAUGCUUCACCGUAGGGAUGGUGCCAGGUUUCCUCCAGACAUGAUGCUGCCACCACCAUGCUUCACCGUAGGGAUGGUGCCAGGUUUCCUCCAGACAUGAUGCUGCCACCACCAUGCUUCACCGUAGGGAUGGUGCCAGGUUUCCUCCAGACAUGAUGCUGCCACCACCAUGCUUCACCGUAGGGAUGGUGCCAGGUUUCCUCCAGACAUGAUGCUGCCACCACCAUGCUUCACCGUAGGGAUGGUGCCAGGUUUCCUCCAGACAUGAUGCUGCCACCACCAUGCUUCACCGUAGGGAUGGUGCCAGGUUUCCUCCAGACAUGAUGCUGCCACCACCAUGCUUCACCGUAGGGAUGGUGCCAGGUUUCCUCCAGACAUGAUGCUGCCACCACCAUGCUUCACCGUAGGGAUGGUGCCAGG